rnacentral:rRNA from 1 species
GUCCACGCCUAACGAUGUCAACUGGUUGUUGGGUCUUCACUGACUCAGUAACGAAGCUAACGCGUGAAGUUGACCGCCUGGGAGUACGGCCGCAAGGUUGAACUCAAGGAAUUGACGGGACCCGCACAAGCGGUGGAUGAUGUGGUUUAAUUCGAUGCAACGCGAAACCUUUAACCCACCUUUGACAUGUACGGAAUUUUCCUAGAGAUGGAUCAGUGCUCGAAAGAGAACCGUAACACAGGUGCUGCAUGGCUGUCGU